CAGUCGCCGCGGUAAUACGUAGGGUGCAAGCGUUAAUCGGAAUUACUGGGCGUAAAGCGUGCGCAGGCGGUUUUGUAAGACAGAGGUGAAAUCCCCGGGCUCAACCUGGGAACUGCCUUUGUGACUGCAAGGCUGGAGUGCGGCAGAGGGGGAUGGAAUUCCGCGUGUAGCAGUGAAAUGCGUAGAUAUGCGGAGGAACACCGAUGGCGAAGGCAAUCCCCUGGGCCUGCACUGACGCUCAUGCACGAAAGCGUGGGGAGCAAACAGGAUUAGAUACCCCCGUAGUCCCUGUCUCUUAUAC
rnacentral:rRNA from 1 species